UACAGAGGUGGCAAGCGUUGUUCGGAAUUACUGGGCGUAAAGGGCGCGUAGGCGGUCUUGUAAGUCUCGUGUGAAAUCCCUCGGCUUAACUGAGGAACUGCACGGGAUACUGCUUGGCUUGAGUUCGGGAGAGGGAAGCGGAAUUCCGGGUGUAGCGGUGAAAUGCGUAGAUAUCCGGAGGAACACCGGUGGCGAAGGCGGCUUCCUGGACCGACACUGACGCUGAGGCGCGAAAGCUAGGGGAGCAAACGGG
rnacentral:rRNA from 1 species